CAUAUAUGCAGGGAUGGGAAAUAUAACUUAAAAUCUCCACAAACUACUUGAGUUCACCUCAUUCCCGGAACGGCAUUAAGGAAGAGAAUUGGGAACACAUGGAGAAUGGAAAGCUGCAAACCUAAACAUCUACAGAACGUGGAAAGAACUAGUUAGAAACACAGAUAUCUUCUUGGUAGUGGGAUGUAGGGAAAUAUCAGUAUGAUCACACAGACCUGAAGUCAUUCCAAGGAUCUCCAGUUAAGCCCCAGUGCAGACAAAGCUUGCAAAAGCUACACAAAAAGGACUCAAUAAAAAAAGAGAGAUGGCCUUGCUGAGAAGGUA
rnacentral:lncRNA from 1 species